AACAAAACAGUAACUAUUUCAACGAGGAAGUUCAUGACCUACCAACUACUUCAGAGGAAACAAAUGGGCAUCAGUGUCCUUCACCCUGGGAAGGCAACAGUACCUAAGACAGAAAUUUGGGGGAAACUAGCCAAAAUGUACAAUACCACACUGGAUGUCAUCUUUGAAUUUGGAUUCAGAACCUAUUUUAGUGGUGGCAAGACAACUGGCUUUGGCAUGAUUUUAUAAUUCUUUGGAUUAUGCAAAGAAAAAUGAACGCAAAUAUAGACUUACAAGACAUGGCCUGUAUGAGAAGAAAAAGACCUUAAGAAAACAGCAAAAGAAAUGCAAGAACAGAAUGAAGAAAGUCAGGUGGACUGCAAAGGCCAAUGGUGCCAGCAAAAAGUGA
rnacentral:lncRNA from 1 species